rnacentral:tRNA from 2 species
GGCUCAGCUGGAUAGAAGCCGCGCCCAGCAAGGCGCGGCGCUACAAGAGCAUCGGCCUUCUAAGCCGAGGGUCGGGGGUUCGAGCCCCUCCUGCCGUACCA